rnacentral:rRNA from 1 species
CCAGCACCUGCGGUAAUUCCAGCUCCAAUAGCGUAUAUUAAAGUUGUUGCAGUUAAAAAGCUCGUAGUCGUAUUUCUAGGUUGGGCUUAUUGUCCGGCACCUCUGGUGUUGUGUACAUUUUUGUCCCAACCUAUCCUUGUAGAGAGCUAGUUUGGCAUUAAUUUGUCGAGCUAGGGAUCUGCAUCAUUUACUGUGAAAAAAUUAGAGUGUUUAAAGCAGGCAUUUGCUGUGAAUACAUUAGCAUGGAAUAAUAAGAUAGGACUUUGGUACUAUUUUGUUGGUUUGCAUACCAAGGUAAUGAUGAAUAGGGACAGUUGGGGGUAUUCAUAUUUAGUUGUCAGAGGUGAAAUUCUUGGAUUUACGAAAGAUGAACUUAUGCGAAAGCAUUUACCAAGGAUGUUUUCA